rnacentral:rRNA from 1 species
UACGUAGGGGGCAAGCGUUGUCCGGAUUUAUUGGGCGUAAAGAGCGUGUAGGCGGCUUGGUAGGUCCGCUGUGAAAACUCGAGGCUCAACCUCGAGAUGUCGGCGGAAACCACUUGGCUAGAGUCCGGAAGAGGAGAGUGGAAUUCCUGGUGUAGCGGUGAAAUGCGCAGAUAUCAGGAAGAACACCCGUGGCUAAGGCGGCUCACUGGUCCAUUACUGACGCUGAGGUGCGAAAGCGUGGGGAGCAAACAGG